AUUGAACGCUGGCGGCAGGCUUAACACAUGCAAGUCGAGCGGGGGAAGGUAGCUUGCUACCGGACCUAGCGGCGGACGGGUGAGUAAUGCUUAGGAAUCUGCCUAUUAGUGGGGGACAACAUCUCGAAAGGGAUGCUAAUACCGCAUACGUCCUACGGGAGAAAGCAGGGGAUCUUCGGACCUUGCGCUAAUAGAUGAGCCUAAGUCGGAUUAGCUAGUUGGUGGGGUAAGGGCCUACCAAGGCGACGAUCUGUAGCGGGUCUGAGAGGAUGAUCCGCCACACUGGGACUGAGACACGGACCAGACUCCUACGGGAGGCAGCAGUGGGGAAUAUUGGACAAUGGGGGGAACCCUGAUCCAGCCAUGCCGCGUGUGUGAAGAAGGCCUUAUGGUUGUAAAGCACUUUAAGCGAGGAGGAGGCUACUUUAGUUAAUACCUAGAGAUAGUGGACGUUACUCGCAGAAUAAGCACCGGCUAACUCUGUGCCAGCCGCCGCAGUAACAC
rnacentral:rRNA from 1 species